rnacentral:sRNA from 1 species
AAAAUCACCACAUGCAUGACAGUAUGACUCGAUUAGAAUUAGAUAGAAAAAUGAGAAGAUCCGUCUUCAGUUACCGGCGAGGAAUGCCGAAAACCGAAGUGGAAGAUCGGUAAUUUUUUUUUAGUGCAGAGAAAAAUUAAGAAAGAAAAGAGAAACCCAUAAAAAUAGAGAUAGUUUCUCA